UGGGGAAUAUUGCGCAAUGGGCGAAAGCCUGACGCAGCGACGCCGCGGGAGGGAUGAAGGUUUUCGGAUCGUAAACCUCUGUCAGAAGGGAAGAAACCGCACUGUGCUAAUCAGCAGUGCCUUGAGGGGACCUUCAAAGGAAGCACCGGCUAACUCCGUGCCAGCAGCCGCGGUAAUACGGAGGGUGCAAGCGUUAAUCGGAAUUACUGGGCGUAAAGCGCACGUAGGCUGCUUUGUAAGUCAGGGGUGAAAUCCCACGGCUCAACCGUGGAACUGCCUUUGAUACUGCUUAGCUUGAAUCCGGGAGAGGGUGGCGGAAUUCCAGGUGUAGGAGUGAAAUCCGUAGAUAUCUGGAGGAACAUCAGUGGCGAAGGCGGCCACCUGGACCGGUAUUUACGCUGAGGUGCGAAAGCGUGGGGAGCAAACAGG
rnacentral:rRNA from 1 species